rnacentral:rRNA from 1 species
UACGUAGGGGGCAAGCGUUGUCCGGAUUUAUUGGGCGUAAAGAGCGUGUAGGCGGCCUUACAGGUCAGCUGUGAAAACUCGAGGCUCAACCUCGAGACGUCGGUUGAAACCGUAAGGCUAGAGUCCGGAAGAGGAGAGUGGAAUUCCCGGUGUAGCGGUGAAAUGCGCAGAUAUCGGGAAGAACACCCGUGGCGAAGGCGAGUCCCUGGACAACUACUGACACUGAGGCACGGAAGCUAGGGGAGCAAACAGG